ACAGCUCUUGCUCUGAAGAACACUCCUGCUCCCCUCUUGCAGCACCUGCAGGGCUGUGGGGAGGCAGAGCAGCCCAGGGCACCCCACAGCCAGGGCUGCAGAGGGAUAUGCCUUGCUGCAGCCUCUCCCCAGAGAAGUCUGCACCACCUGGACAUAUACACUGGAAAUGCAAACUGCUCCAUCCCCUGUGCUGAGGAGUUCAGCAACACCAACAAAGAAAGGGAAUAUAUAGGCACAUCAUAUGGCUUGUGAGCAAAGUACCCUGUGCUCUCUGUGACCAAGCCUCACCUAGUUUGGAUGCUGCUGACUCAUGCCCAGCUUACUAGCUACUGUCCCAUUAAUCAAAUUGUACAUUUCAGUGAGCAUGGUAUCUGUGUGUCUCUGCUUGCUAGGUAAGGUGGUGGUGCUCCAGAGUUAAGCUGGUGUGGGGAAAGGGUGCUCCACUCACCAUCGCUGGUUCCACUCGCUGGCAGCCUCCACAGAGCAGCAGAGUGUUCUUCAGUGGCCAAUCAGCAGCACCGUUGUCAACCAUUGAUCACACUGGCUGCCAGAGGUGAAAGAGAACAGGAGCCACUUUGUUCUUUCUUCGGUUUUCUUUCUCUCCAUCAGCAAAGCCUGGUGAUGUCCCUUUUUCACCCCAUCCUGCCAGACUCUGCUACGAGCUAUCGAAAGUAUUUGCAACUCUUAAGGUGUGAAUUUGCAAUCUUCCUGGAAAGGGAUGGUGGGCAGGGAGGUGCUGCCUGUGGAUCACUGCCUCUGAGACUUGCUGGGUGGCAACGGUAGAGUCCUCUUUCCUCCCGUGGAUCUGGCACAGAGGAGUCACAAACAAGAGCAGGGGAUGAUUCUCCAUCAGGAGGGCAGUGUGGAGAUACCAGCAGGUGUCAGUGCUUUGCCACAAUCCCAAGUAAUCUCAUUUAUGAAAAUAGCUAAAUUCCUGUAAACAAGG